AAUUAAAAAUUUUAUCCAUUUAUACAAUUAAAAACUAGCGUGAUAGACAAAAUACACAUGAAGUGCCACAUGUAUCUCAUGUUGACAUACUCUGUUUUUAAUAAUAAAAAUAAAUAGAAUUUUUAACA
rfam:Gossypium arboreum cultivar AKA8401 contig_14557_1, whole genome shotgun sequence.